AGAGUUUGAUCCUGGCUCAGGACGAACGCUGGCGGCGUGCUUAACACAUGCAAGUCGAGCGAUGAAGUUCCUUCGGGAAUGGAUUAGCGGCGGACGGGUGAGUAACACGUGGGUAACCUGCCUCAUAGAGGGGAAUAGCCUUUCGAAAGGAAGAUUAAUACCGCAUAAGAUUGUAGUAUCGCAUGAUACAGCAAUUAAAGGAGUAAUCCGCUAUGAGAUGGACCCGCGUCGCAUUAGCUAGUUGGUGAGGUAACGGCUCACCAAGGCGACGAUGCGUAGCCGACCUGAGAGGGUGAUCGGCCACAUUGGGACUGAGACACGGCCCAGACUCCUACGGGAGGCAGCAGUGGGGAAUAUUGCACAAUGGGGGAAACCCUGAUGCAGCAACGCCGCGUGAGUGAUGACGGUCUUCGGAUUGUAAAACUCUGUCUUCAGGGACGAUAAUGACGGUACCUGAGGAGGAAGCCACGGCUAACUACGUGCCAGCAGCCGCGGUAAUACGUAGGUGGCAAGCGUUGUCCGGAUUUACUGGGCGUAAAGGGUGCGUAGG
rnacentral:rRNA from 1 species